UGCGGAAGGAUCAUUAAUGAUUGGCCUAACGGCCUUAUCAACAUAAUCCCUCACCUCUGUGAACCGUUGACCUCCGGGUCUACAUAACAAACAUCAGUGUAAAGAACGUCUUUAUAUUUUAACAAAAUAAAACUUUCAACAACGGAUCUCUUGGCUCUCGCAUCGAUGAAGAACGCAGCGAAAUGCGAUAAGUAAUGUGAAUUGCAGAAUUCAGUGAAUCAUCGAAUCUUUGAACGCACCUUGCGCCUUUUGGUAUUCCGAAAGGCAUGCCUGUUUGAGUGUCAUGAAAUCUCAAUCCCCCCGGGUUUUCUGAACCCGAGGUGGACUUGGACAUGGGUGUCUGCCGUCUCGUACGGCUCGCCUUAAAUGACUCAGUGGGAUCUUCAGCAUCCGUGGCAGACGUAAUAAGUUUCGUCUCGUCCCUUGCUGUGAGGACCGCUCAUAACCUGCCAUCGCGCACCACUUUUGACUCUGACCUCAAAUCAGGUAGGACUACCCGCUGAACUUAAGCAUA
rnacentral:rRNA from 1 species